rnacentral:rRNA from 1 species
AUUGAACGCUGGCGGCAUGCCUAACACAUGCAAGUCGAGCGCGUGGCGGACGGGUGAGUAAUGUCUGGGAACCUGCCCGAUGGCGGGGGAUAACUCCUGGAAACGGUGGCUAAUACCGCAUACCAUUCGCUUUGCCCUGAUUGGAUUAGCUAGUAGGUGGGGUAAAGGCUCACCAAGGCCACGAUCCCUAGCUGGUCUGCGAGGAUGACCAGCCACACUGGAACUGAGACACGGUCCAGACUCCUACGGGAGGCAGCAGUGGGGAAUCUUGCACAAUGGGCGAAAGCCUGAUGCAGCAAUGCCGCGUGUAUGAUGAAGGCCUUCGGGUUGUAAAGUACUGUUAGCGGGGAAGCGGUACCCGCAGAAGAAGCACCGGCUAACUACGUGCCAGCAGCCGCGGUAAUUC